rnacentral:lncRNA from 1 species
AAAAGACUGUGUAGAAGUGGUGUUAAAUCUUCUUUAGAUUUUUGGUAGAAUUUUUUGUAGGUAAAAAUAUCUGGGCUUGAAGAUUCCUUUUUUGGGGGGAGUAUUUAAUUUUAAAUUAAUUUUCUUAAUAGACAUAGGGCUAUUCAAGUCAUUUACUUCACAACAGCCUAAGGUGGCACAUUCUCUCUAGUUGUAAACAUUCUAGUGUAUAUUCUUCCCGACAUUCUUCUCUGCACACGAAGAUAUAAAUCUAAGAAAAACAGCAGCUUAGGGGUAACAAGAAAUAAAUGCUAAGUGGCCCCAGGAGGAAGUCAAUUUAACAUCUGCAUAUUUUAUUUAACAUAUAAUUAUUUUAAUUAGGUAAGAUUAACAAUUAUUCAUUGGAAAAUUAUCACAAUCAUAUCAUAUCAGGUACAGUACAAAUUAAAUCUAAAACGGUGUCCCCUCCUCCCCCUUUAGGGAACCUGGGAAGGACUCAGAGUGCCGAUGGUGUAUUUGAUAUACAUCAGCCUAUUUCCUUGUUUUCUAUUGAACUUCAACCACUGGAUGGAACUUCUUUACACCACUGUUUAAUUGCUUCAUUAUUCCAGUGAGCAGGCAAGGCUGAAGAGGAGGAAUUCUGGAAGCUGGAAUAAAGAAUUUAUAUUUGUACUGCUGUGUGCUUAGCCUCUGGUUCUGGAAGACCUUUCCACCACACCUCUUCUGAAAAAAAAAAAAAAAAAGAAAGAAAGAAAGAAAGAAAAGUGAAAACAUCUUACUGUUGGCCUGGAGGAAACAUGGAACUAAAAGAAAUCCUCGAGAACUAGGAAAUGUAUGAUUUUUCUCGCGAAGAAUGUGUAUGACGUUGUUCCUGCCACACCCAGAAUGCUAAAUUCUUUAAUUCACUCUUUCAAUUAUGUCUGGAAAUAAGAAUCAUCAUCCAGAAAUCAUUAGACCAGCUCUCAAGUGUAAAAUCCUAAAAAUAUAUAUAUUCUUUUUGAAACAGGGUCUUGCUCUGUCAUCCAGGCUGGAUACAGUGGUAUGAUCAUGGCUCACUGCAGGCUUGACCUCCUGGCUCAAGCAAUCUUCCUGCCUCAGCCUCCCAAGUAGCUUGACUAUAGGUGUGCUGACUAUGCUUGGCUAAUUUUUAAUUUUUUUUUUUUGUAGAGAUAAAGGUCUUGCUCUGUUCCCCAGGCUGGUCUUGAACUCCUGGCCUCAAGUGAUCUUCCUGCCUCAGUCUCCCAAAGUGCUGGGAUUACAGGCAUGGGCCACCACACCUGGCCCUAAAAUAAUCUUAAGGCAGCCAUGUUGCUUAAUUAUAACCAAAUGUCCUUAAAUAAAUAUGCACCACUGAUGGUGUUGUUAAAUUUUUAAAAAGAAAUAUACUCACUUAUUUCCUUCUCAGCAAUUAAUAAACUUCAAUCUUCAGAGCCCAGAGACAAAAACAAACAAACAAAAAAACAACAAAAAAAGAUGCGACACAACCUAUUAGCACAAGCAAAAACAAUGUUCUAACAGUGAAGCUUCAUGCUGCACUCAAAUGCAUAAUUAUCCAUACAAUUUAAAAUUGUAUAUUUUAUUGCUUUAAAAGUCUUUCAGAUACUUUACACUGCCCACUGUUUUACCACGAAGUAAAUUUUCCUUUCACUACAUUUCUGCAGCGUUGUUCAUUGUUUUUAGUUCAAUUACAUAGUUGAGAAAAUUCAGGCCCAGAGAAGUAAAAAGAAAAAAAUUCCUUGCUACAGAGCAAGGCAGCAAAUAAGGCAUUUGAAAGCUUACUCUAUUACAGGCUGGUGGUUAAAUUAAUUAAACUAUUCUGGCUCUGGAAUUCAGUAUUCUAAAGACCCAGAAGUCAGAUUUAAAAUAUCAAUUAUUAUUGAAGUGUUUUACUCACUAAAAAACUAUUGUGAUAAAUCAAUGACCUAUAAUUACUCCAAAAAUAUAACUAACAUUUAAAAGUUGUGAUCUCCAUAUUCAUUUCUUUCAAGAGAAAGUGUCAAAAUGUGUUAGGCCCCAACCCUUGGUAAUUAGUUUUUGUAUAAGUGUAAUAUAGAUUUUAUUGGGUAUGCUCUAUAGAUGGUGAUUUUAAAGAUUUCCCAGCAGGAUCCCAACUUUGGAACUAAGGCUGCUGUCCCUACAGUGCAGAAGAAGCAGAUUCCAGUGAUUCUCAGAUAAUUCACUAGUUGUUUGCAGGGGGGAGGGGGCACGUGUUUGUGUAUCCUCCUAAAUAGGUCUUCUAAUUCCAUUUUCCCAGGACAUGCUGCCAGGUCCUAGACAGGAAAUGAGUCUUCCAGACAUGUCCAAAGUUGCAGAUUCUAAGAGGUGGCUAUUCAAAGAUCAGUCCAUGAGCAGGUUACAUAAAAUGAAUCUAGAGAUGUGGUCAGAGUACUUGUGCACAAUAUAUUUAAUCUCGGAGAAAGAAUUUACAGUAAUAUUAUAGAAUCAAUAUCAAUAUUCCCACCACCAGAAUCAACCACUUUUUGUGAUCUUGACUUCCCUGGAAAUGUUAAGAAAAUAGAGCCAAGUCUGACUUACAGAAUCUGAGGAAACUUUAUUGAUCUCUUUAUACUUCCAGCAUUAUGAGAGUAGGCAAUACAAUGUUUUAACCCAACCAAGCUCAAAGGAGUAAACCUUUUUCCUGAACCAUAAAUGGGCUGGAUGUUUCCUCCACAUUAUAGUACCAUCUCCUAAAUCAUCCUUUAUUCACCUCCAUGACAAUAAUAACCCACAACUCAGUGCAGGAUGGAGAUGCUUUUGCUGUUUCUCUUCAGAGGUCCUCACUGGAGUGUUCUUAUCUUCUUGUGGGCUUCUGGCAUCCUAUGAUAUUUAACACUCAGUGCCUCCCAAAUGACAACAUGGU